rnacentral:rRNA from 1 species
AUGAAGGCAUAUCUCAUUGAACUCUUAAAAGAUCAUGAUGUUCCCAAAUAUCGGACGCAAAAUGCAUGGAGUAAAGAGGCUUGGACAAAUAUUGUUGGUAAAUUCAAUCAAAGAUUUAAUGUAUCCUUCACCGUAGUUCAAGUGAAGCAAAAGGAGCAGGAUCUAAAGAGAGAUUUCCAAGUUGUAAAAGGCUUAGUAUCUGAAAGUGGUUUUGGUUGCGAUCGUGACCGAAAGAUGGUGGUGGCUCCAGAUAAUGUUUGGGCUGCACUAGAGGCACGUGAAAACAAGGACGCCCUCAUAUGGUGA